AGCGAACGCUGGCGGCAGGCCUAACACAUGCAAGUCGAACGAACUCUUCGGAGUUAGUGGCGGACGGGUGAGUAACACGUGGGAACGUGCCUUUAGGUUCGGAAUAACUCAGGGAAACUUGUGCUAAUACCGAAUGUGCCCUUCGGGGGAAAGGUUUAUCGCCUUUAGAGCGGCCCGCGUCUGAUUAGCUAGUUGGUGAGGUAAAGGCUCACCAAGGCGACGAUCAGUAGCUGGUCUGAGAGGAUGAUCAGCCACAUUGGGACUGAGACACGGCCCAAACUCCUGCGGGAGGCAGCAGUGGGGAAUCUUGCGCAAUGGGCGAAAGCCUGACGCAGCCAUGCCGCGUGAAUGAUGAAGGUCUUAGGAUUGUAAAAUUCUUUCACCGGGGACGAUAAUGACGGUACCCGGAGAAGGAGCCCCGGCUAACUUCGUGCCAGCCGCCGCGGUAA
rnacentral:rRNA from 1 species